rnacentral:rRNA from 1 species
GAGUUUGAUCCUGGCUCACGACGAACGCUGGCGGCGUGCCUAAUACAUGCAAGUCGAGCGAGCGGAACUAACAGAUUUACUUCGGUAAUGACGUUAGGAAAGCGAGCGGCGGAUGGGUGAGUAACACGUGGGGAACCUGCCCCAUAGUCUGGGAUACCACUUGGGAACAGGUGCUAAUACCGGAUAAGAAAGCAGAUCGCAUGAUCAGCUUUUAAAAGGCGGCGUAAGCUGUCGCUAUGGGAUGGCCCCGCGGUGCAUUAGCUAGUUGGUAAGGUAAAGGCUUACCAAGGCGAUGAUGCAUAGCCGAGUUGAGAGACUGAUCGGCCACAUUGGGACUGAGACACGGCCCAAACUCCUACGGGAGGCAGCAGUAGGGAAUCUUCCACAAUGGACGAAAGUCUGAUGGAGCAACGCCGCGUGAGUGAAGAAGGGUUUCGGCUCGUAAAGCUCUGUUGGUAGUGAAGAAAGAUAGAGGUAGUAACUGGCCUUUAUUUGACGGUAAUUACUUAGAAAGUCACGGCUAACUACGUGCCAGCAGCCGCGGUAAUACGUAGGUGGCAAGCGUUGUCCGGAUUUAUUGGGCGUAAAGCGAGUGCAGGCGGUUCAAUAAGUCUGAUGUGAAAGCCUUCGGCUCAACCGGAGAAUUGCAUCAGAAACUGUUGAACUUGAGUGCAGAAGAGGAGAGUGGAACUCCAUGUGUAGCGGUGAAAUGCGUAGA